rnacentral:tRNA from 1 species
GACUCAGUAGCUCAACUGGUAGAGCGCCCGCCCGUUAAGCGGGGUGUUGCAGGUUCAAGUCCUGCCCGCGUCGCCA